GACGAACGCUGGCGGCGUGCCUAAUACAUGCAAGUAGAACGCUGAAGGAGGAGCUUGCUUCUCUGGAUGAGUUGCGAACGGGUGAGUAACGCGUAGGUAACCUGCCUGGUAGCGGGGGAUAACUCUUGGAAACGAUAGCUAAUACCGCAUAAUAGCAGUUGUUGCAUGACAACUGUUUGAAAGGUGCAAUUGCACCACUACCAGAUGGACCUGCGUUGUAUUAGCUAGUUGGUGGGGUAACGGCUCACCAAGGCGACGAUACAUAGCCGGCCUGAGAGGGUGAUCGGCCACACUGGGACUGGGAAACCGCCCAGACUUCUACGGGAGGCAGCAGUAGGGAAUCUUCGGCAAUGGACGGAAGUCUGACCGGGCAACGCCGCGUGAGUGAAGAAGGGUUUCGGAUCGGAAAGCUCUGUUGUAAGAGAAGAACGAGUGUGAGAGUGGAAAGUUCACACUGUGACGGUAUCUUACCAGAAAGGGACGGCUAACUACGUG
rnacentral:rRNA from 1 species